rnacentral:rRNA from 1 species
UACAGAGGGUGCGAGCGUUAAUCGGAAUUACUGGGCGUAAAGCGUGCGUAGACGGUUAUUUAAGUCGGGUGUGAAAGCCCCGGGCUCAACCUGGGAAUUGCAUUCGAGACUGAAUAGCUAGGGUACGGUAGAGGGAAGUGGAAUUUCCGGUGUAGCGGUGGAAUGCGUAGAUAUCGGAAGGAACAUCAGUGGCGAAAGCGACUUCCUGGACCAGUACCGACGUUCAGGCACGAAGGCCAGGGGAGCAAACGGG